rnacentral:lncRNA from 1 species
AUUUUUGGUUUUAUUAGUAAAAGACUAGAUUUUCUAUAUGCAAGUAAAAUUUAGAAGCAAUUUAAUAGUGGAAAAGGGAGAUAUCAGCACUUGAAGUUGGCAUCAAGAUUGGAGAAGGAGAGACCAGCCGACAUUUGAGUGGAAUUUUGAGGUCAUCAACUAAUUGGUAAGUGCAAUUUUCUUCAAAAUUUGUGUGCUAGUUUUUAACUUAAACUCCAAGAAGUAUGAAAAUUCCAAAUAAGAAUCAAUGAUUCAAUCUUUAGUUAUUUAAAUUUCAAAUCUAUGAUUAGGAUUUAGUUUGGGUUAGGAUUUGAUUACGGUUUAGAGUUAGGAUUUAUUAGGGUUAGGAUAUGGUUUAGAAUUUGUUAGGAUUAGGAUAUGAUUUAGGAUUUGAUUUAGGAUUUAGGGUUUAGGAUUUGGAGUUUAGUUUAGGAUUUGAUUUAGGAUUUAGGGUUUGGAUUAGAAUUUGGAUUUGGGUUUAGGAUUUGAUUUAGGAUUUGAUUUAGGAUUUAGGGUUUGGAUUAGGAUUUAGAUUAGGAUUUAAGAUUUGAUUUAGGAUUUAAUUAGGAAUUAGUUUAAGGUUUAAGAUUUGAUUAGGAUUUAGAAUAGGAUUUAGGAUUUGUCUAGGGUUUGAUUAAAGUUGGAUUAGGAUUAGGGAUUGGUUAGAAUUUAAGAUUUUAUUAGAUUUUUGUUAAGGUUUGACUAAGUUUUUUUUAAUAUUCUUUUAUAUUUCUUGAGGAUUUCUUUGUGUUUCUUUUAUAACUUCAAUAACAUUUAAUUGAGCUUGCUUAAUGUUUGAUUAUGAUUGUUAACAUUUAAUUUUAAAUUUUUUAUAAUCCUAUUGGAUUGUUAGGACAUUUUGUUGCAAUUUUCUUUUAUCUUCCACAGCCAGGUGCUUGGUGCAUUCUCAAGCAAGACUUCAGGUGAUACAACAUAUUUGGAGAACCCGACAUGAAAAACUUGAAGUGGAAGGUAUUUGGAGUUUCUUUGAUCUAUUUGGGUUAUGGAAAAGGAAGGCAAGAGAAUGGGCAGAGGAGCUUUUGGUGGUGCUUCAAGUAGAAUUGGAAGUGGAGCUUCAAUUGAAAGAUAAGGUAUGUAUUUUGAUCUCAACUCUGCAAGCAUGUUUGAGGCAUUGGCCUUAUUCAUGCAACAACAACAGGUUAAAGAUCACAAAGAAGGCAUGGUAGACAAAGCGUUACAAGCUGUUGUAGACAAGAUUGAUCAAUUUGAAGGAAAGUAUAUUACAAAAUAUUUAAAGUAUUAUGUAAAAGAAAUGGAAUUGAAGCAUGUUUCAGAGAAGGAGAUGGUUCAGCUAUUUAAAUUGGCUAUUGCAGCAGAAAUUAGAAAUCAUGUGAAGUCCAUUAUAGAACAUUCUAGAGGUUCAUGGGAAAAACUAUCUCAAGUAUUAAAGGAUGAGUAUUUUUUAGAAGAUAGUGACUGAGUUACAAAGAAGUUGUUUUUUGAAUAGAUUGAAAGGCCUAGGAAGGAUCUACUAGCAACGGAGUUACUAAGGGAGUUUGAAAAGCAAUAUUCUUGUUUAUCAAAGAAAGAGAGGCAAUUAUUAGAUCCAAGUAAAGUGGAGCUUUUUCUUCAAGCGACUAAUGGAGAGUUGCAAGAAAAGUUGGAAAUUUUGCUGAAAGAUAAAGAAGAAGUUGAAGGAUUGAUAACAAAUUGAGAGAAAGUAGAAGAGGCAAUUGGAGUGCUUGCAAAAAGAGAAAAGAGAAAAGAUAGGAUAAAAAUUCAAAGACCAUUGCAAGUAUCUAAAGAAAAAAUGCCUGCUAUCUAUCCUACAUCUACGAUUCAACCUUCAAUGGCUACAUCAAAGAGAGAAGAAAUGGGCAUUGAUGAAAUCAUAUGAGGGAUGAGAGAUUUGCAAAUAAAAUUUGUAAAACUUGAAGAGAUAGGUCAAUCAUCAAGAAUAUCAACAAGACAAAAUUUAAGACCAAUAGAAGGUAUAGUGCAUAUGCGCAUGUGGUGUGAUAGCAUAGAUCAUUCAAGAAAGAAGUGUGAGGAUUUUUCAGAGGCGCUACGCAAACGAGUUGUUUUUUUUAAAGAUGGUAUGAUACACUUAAAAGAGAGUAGAGAAAAAUUAGAGACAAAUUUUGGUAAAGGAAGAAUGAAGGUGUUUGUAGGAGAUGCUUUCAAGGUGCAUACAACUUCAAGCAAUGAAGCAUCAAUAUUUUGGAUGGAGGCAAAUCCAAGAAAAUGCUUAAGUAUAAAUCAUGAGUAUCCAGGAGAAUCUAGUUCUUUAUGGUCAAGUGCAAUGAAUUAUGCUGAAAAGAAAAUUUUUAUUGGAGAUGAUCUAAAAUAUGUUGGCAAUAACAUUCAGCAAAUUACUGGGUGGGAUGAUCCAGUAGAUAGAUUAUGAGUUCAUGCUCAUAUUGUAAGGAGUCAACAUGAAGCAUUAAUAGAAGAAAAAUGAAGGAGAGACAAAAAUCAUGAAGGGCCAUCAAAAAGAAUCACAAGGAGAGAUAAAACUCGACAACAGAAGAAUCCUAUGCAUGAAGAGACAAUAGAGAAUAUUUCUACAAAAGUGAGGGAGAUUGUGAAAGAACUUGUAAAGGUUCCUGCUUAUAAAUUACAAUUAGAUAUUGAAGCUGCUACAGAUUUGAAGAAAGUAUUGGAAGAGCAAAUUUUAAGUGGAAAGGUUGAAUUUACAAUUGGUGAAAUUCUAGGAAUUGCAAAAUGAGAAUUUCAUGAAGUUAUUAUUGACACAAUAAAAAAAAAAAAUAGCAAUCUAUUGGUGAUAUUAUGACAUCAAAUGUACAAGGUACAAAGGCAAUAGGAAACAAUGCAGAUGAAGAAAUUGAAAUACAAAUUGUUGGAGAUAUUUUACGAGUCAAAUUUCCAGGAAAAAAAGAUAUGAUUCAAACUUCUAGUCAUUAUUCUCGGAGUCAUUGGGCAAGGGCUACUAUGAAAACUUUAAUAAAAUUGGAAGAUUUAGAAAAACCAAUUGUAGCAUUGAUUGAUUAUGGUUCUGAAAUAAAUUUAAUGUCAACAUAAUUAUAUAAAAGAAGAAAUUGGCCUAUUAAUAUUGAGCAUGGGUGGAUGAUAAGAGUAGUAAAUAAUUCAAAAGAGGAUUUGUAUGGAGCUUGUCUAAAUAUCAAGGUAACAAUAGGAGAUGUUAUUCAUGAACAAAAUUUCUUUGUGCAAGAUAUGUCUACAUAUCCUAUUAUAUUAGGACAACCAUAUAUUACUGCCACAUGAAUGGAGACAAAGGUUAUAGAUGAUGGAUCAGCUUAUGCAAGGAUAAGAAGUCAAGACAGAAAGAAGGCACUGUAAUUUUUAACAGUUUGUGCAAAUCAUGGAAGAAAUAGGGAUAGUUUGAGGGAACAUCCUUUGUCAAAGAUACAUAAAGAAUUUAAAGAUCUUGAAGAUUCAAAGGAUUUUUACUAGAUGCCAUUGUAAAGCGUGAUUGCAAUGGUAAAAAGAGUGAAGGCUUUUCACCUAAUAGAAAGGAUGAAGAUAUUGUAGGAUUAUCGCGAGACGGAUAUAUUUUAUUCAAAAACAUAAAUAAUUUUAAUAGGAUAGAUAAGAAAAAUGUUAAGAAUGUAGAACAAGGAUUAAAGAAAUGUGGAAUGAUUGAUGAAGAUGAAUACAUAUCAAGGAUGUUUAAAGAAUCUUAUUUUGGUGAUACUAUGAAUGAUUUAUAAAUAUUAUUGAAUGGAGAUUUUGAAAGAGGUGAUAAAGUAAUAAAUGUCCAUUCUAAGUAAUUUUAUGAUGGAAUAAAAGAAUAUAUAGAUAGGUAUGAAGUGAAGGUGAACACAAAAUAUAAGACUGUUGCAAGGAAGGUUAAACCAGUGGCAUUGCCACUACCAUCGGAUUUUGAAGAAAGGAUUAAAGAAGCUUCUAUGCAACCUAACUUAAGAGAUCUAAGGAAAAUAGGUCAUGAAUUCAAGGAUAAUUUGACGUUAGAUGGUUUGAAAAUUGAAUGUGAUAAAUUUUUGACAAGAGAUGAGGAGAGAUGUUUUAAAGAAAUGCUUUCAUGAUAUGAUAAAGUAUUUGCAUUUGAAUCACAUGAAAUAGGGUACAUUGAUUCGAGUAUUAUAGUACCUGUAGUUAUUUUUAUAAUUCUGCAUGAACCAUGGAAUUUGAGGCCAAUUCCAGUUCCAAAGGCCCAUUUGCCAAAGCUAGUUGAAUUACUCAAUAAAAAAAUUAAGAUGAAAAUUUUAGAACCAUCUAUUGCACCAUAUUUCAAUCGGUGGUUCACAGUACCUAAGAAAAAUAGAACAUUGAGGUAUAUUUAAGAUAUGCAACUGGUAAAUAAAAUAAGUAUUAGAAACAUGGGCUCGAGUCCAAUUGAAGAUGAGUUUGUAGAGGUAUUUGCAAAGAGAUCAAUUUAUUCUAUAAAAGAUCUUUAUUCACGAUACGAUCAAUUUCAAUUGGUAAUGCAAAGUAAAAAUUUGACAACUAUGAAGACACCAUUGAGAUUGGUCAGAAUGCGUACAUUACCACAAGGGGCUACAAAUUCUUUGGAACAUAUGAUGAAUCGAAUGCAUAAGGUACUAAGAGAUUUUAUUCAAAGAAUAACAAUGUCUUUUCUAGAUGAUGUGCCAAUUAAGGGAUGUGAAGAAAAAAAAAAGAAUGAAACAUUGGAUUCAAAAGAAUGUAGGAAGUUUGUGGCAGAUCAUAUUGAUGAUUGCGAGAAGAUAAAGACAAGGCUAGAAGAAGUUCAUUUAACCUUAUCGGGGACAAAAUCAAUAUUUGGAGCAAAAGAAGUUUUGAUAGUAGAGCACAUGUGUGGUUCAUAUGGACGCAAACUAAGUAGGAAAAAAAUUGAUAUUAUAAAAAAAAUGAAAGAGUAUACAAAUAUGACAGAAGUCAAGAGGUUUUUAGGAGUAUGUAUUUUCUAUCAUAUAUAGAUACCUCAUUUUAUACAUAUAGUAGAUCCAUUAUAUGAGUUGUUAUGAAAGAAUCAAAAAUUUUAAUGGAAAGAAGAAUAAAGAAAAACUAUAGCAAAGUUAAAAGAAUUUCUUUCUUCACCUCCAAUUUUGAAGAAAGUAAAUUAUGAAUGUAGAAGGCAUGUAAUAUUAAUAGUUGACGCAAGUCCAAUUGGAAUAGGUUGGGCAAUUGGACAACAUGAUGAACAAGGGAAUAGAUAUGUAAUAAGGUUUGGAGCAAAGGUUUUGAAUGCUAGACAAAGGAUAUAUGCACAAAUCAAAAGAGAAUUAUGAGGUGUAGUAAUAGCUAUGAAAAAUAAAAGGGAUUAUUUAAUUGAUACAUCAGUAGUUGUAGAAACAGAUUGUCUAUCUUUAUUGGGUAUGAUUAUAAGUUGUUCAACUCCCAAUAUUGCUAUAUUAAGGUGGAUGGCAUAUAUCAAAUCUAUAAAUUUAAAAUUUAAAUAUAUUAUAAGAAAAGAAAAUUCAGUCGCAGAUAUGUUAUCAAGAGCAAGGUAUUACGAUGAAGAAGAUAUAAUAGAUUUAGAAGAUGAUGUAGGUACAAAUUUUUAUACUAAUGCAUUAUCAAAGGAAGAAAGUAUAUAUUUGAAUAUACCAUUAGAAAUAUUUUCAAGAGAUCUAUAUGAAGAAGAAUGGAAAGACAUUGAGGAGUAUUUAAGUACAUUAAAGCGACAGGAUGGUUGGACAGAUCAAGAAUUUAAGAAAAUCUGAAAGAAAGCCUAUAGAUAUUUUUUACGCAAUGGAUAUUUAUGGAAGCAUCCAAAGAAGAGAGGAGAAGUAUCACAAUGAGUGAUAUGUGGUUUAAAAGCUCAAAAAAAGAUUAUUAAGGAAUUUCAUGAAAAUUUAUGGGUAGGGCAUCGAGGUAUUUGGGCAAUAUUUAUUAAGUUGAAAGAAAAAUAUUGGUGGAAGGGCAUGUAUAGGGAUGUGGCAGAUUUUGUAGGAUCUUGUGAAACUUACCAAAUAUAUUCAAAUAUUCGCCACCGAGAUGGUUUGCAUCUUACAUACCCAUUAGUAAUUCAUUAUAAAUGGGUGGUUGAUUUAGUUGUAAUGCCAAUGGGAUUUGGUUACAGGAAAUAUUUGGUACUUGCUUGGAAAGAGCACUUUCAACAAAGACUACGGAAAGAGUAUGUCGGUUUAUAUUAGAGGAAAUUAUUUGCCGGUAUGGAUGUAUUGGAAAAAUCUUUGCGGAUAGAAGAGAAUUGGAUGCAAAUGAAGCAUGAGAGUUCUUUGAAAAGAUGGAUAUUAAACUUGCAUUGACAACAGCAUAUAAUCCGGAAGGGAAUGGAAAGAGUGAACAUAGACAUUCUCCGAUUAUUAAAGCAUUGAUUAAAGCAUGCAAAGGCAAGAUAAGUGAUUGGCCUAAAUUAUUACCAUUUUCAUUAUGGAAAAAUCGAACAACUCAUAGUACGGUUACAGGAUACAUGCCAGCAGAAUUGAUGUAUGGUCAAAAACCGGUAAUACAGAUAGAAGAGAUUGUAUCAAAAUGGGCUAUAUUACCUUGAGAAGAUGGUUUAAUAAGAGAAGAGUUAUUGGCAUUAUGAAUUCGACAACUUGAAAGAAGGCCCGAGGACAUUGAAGUAGCUUUGAGAAAGUUGAAAGAAGCGAGAGAAAAAAAAACAAGGAGAGGUUUGAUAAAAAGCAUCAAUUGUGUCCCAAACCAAUUCAAAAUGGUGAUUAGAUGUUGGUUUAUGAUAGUAGUUUAAACAACCAACAUAGUACGGCAAAGAAAUUUGCAAGAAGAUGGUUUGGACCUUAUGUUGUCAACCAAGUGCACGAGAAUGGAACGUACUUGUUACGAGAACUGGAUGGUACAGAUUUAAAGAUACCAAUUGCUUAAUCAAAGAAGUAAAUACAUUUAUUUUGAUGAAGAAUAAAAUAUAAUAAAAGAUAUUGAGAUAGAAGAAAAACAACAAAAUGAAGAUCAAGAAUUUGACCAAGAUGAAGAACAUUUGAUAUCAAUAUAAUGAAGGAACUUGGUGCAUAUCAAAGAAUGCACAAGUUCAGAGAGGAAGAUGUCGUAAUAUAACAUGGCUAACAAGUGAAAGAAAGAAGAAAAUAUCAUGUUUUGAGGAUCUCACUUCAAAAAUAUUGUAACAAAUUAUCUUGGAAAAAUAAAUAUUAGUCAAAGGGUAGAAAAAUUAAAGGUGCUAAUGCUGCCUUUUUACAAAUUAUGCUUCUAUUUACUUUGUAAGGCCAUAAAUAAGACAAAAAAAGAUAGCUUAGAAAAAUAAAGGAUAUAAGCAUAUGUAGGGAGGAGUUAGGAGUUCAAAUUAGUAAAAAUUACCUCAAGAAGACAAAAGUUGAUACCCAAAGAGGACCGAUUAUAAACCUAGGUCGAAAUCAGAUUCCAAGGCACAAAACUGUGCUCUAAUAGCGACUAAAGGGUUCUUUGGGAGAUCGAAGAGCCAAAUUAGAGAGAAUACUUGUGGAGGGAUUUUUGAAAGGUGAUUUCGUGUCGUUUGGAUCAGUAUUGGAUUUUUGAGGGAUUUUCAAAGCGAGUGAUGUUCUCUAUGAAUUUAGAUCUUUGAGAAAUAAAACCGGUUUAAACUUUUUUGGAUUUCAUGUCUUUUGUAGCAUUUUUACAAGUGAAAAUUUAGAGACAUAUUGUUAUGCUUGUUGUAAAUGUGUGUAAGAGAUUUGAGGUCAAUCGAAUAGCUAGAUUGAUACAUAUGAAGGUUUUUGUGGGCUAAGGUCUUGGGAUUUAGGAUUUUGAAGACCAGUAAGGUUUUCUUAGAUAUCUACCAAUUUGUCAAUUGGAUUGGAGAGAUUUUUGGUUUUAUUAGUAAAAGACUAGAUUUUCUAUAUGCAAGUAAAAUUUAGAAGCAAUUUAAUAGUGGAAAAGGGAGAUAUCAACACUUGAAGUUGGCAUCAAGAUUGGAGAAGGAGAGACCAGCCGACAUUUGAGUGGAAUUUUGAGGUCAUCAACUAAUUGGUAAGUGCAAUUUUCUUUAAAAUUUGUAUGCUAGUUUUUAACUUAAACUCCAAGAAGUAUGAAAAUUCCAAAUAAGAAUCAACGGUUCAAUCUUUAGUUAUUUAAAUUUCAAAUCUGUGAUUAGGAUUUAGUUUGGGUUAGGAUUUGAUUACGGUUUAGAAUUAGGAUUUGUUAGGGUUAGGAUAUGGUUUAGAAUUUUUUAGGGUUAGGAUAUGAUUUAGGAUUUAAUUUAGGAUUUAGAAUUUAGGGUUUGGAGUUUAGUUUAGGAUUUGAUUUAGGGUUUAGAAUUUGGAUUAGGAUUUAGAUUAGGGUUUAGGAUUUGAUUUAGGAUUUGGGGUUUGGAUUAGGGUUUAGAUUAGGAUUUAGGAUUUGAUUUAGGAUUUUGUUAGGAAUUGGUUUAAGGUUUAAGACUUAAUUAAGGUUUAUUAGGAUUUAGAAUAAGAUUUAGGAUUUAUCUAGGGUUUGAUUAAAGUUGGAUUAGGAUUAGGGAUUGGUUAGAAUUUAAGGUUUUAUUAGAUUUUUGUUAAGGUUUGACUAUGUUUUAUUUAAUAUUCUUUUAUAUUUCUUGAGGAUUUCUUUGUGUUUCUUUUAUAACUUCAAUAACAUUUAAUUGAGCUUGCUUAAUGUUUGAUUAUGAUUGUUAACGUUUAAUUUUAAAUUUUUUAUAAUCCUAUUGGAUUGUUAGGACCUUUUGUUGCAAUUUUCUUUUAUCUUCCACAGCCAGGU